ensembl:lncRNA
AAGGCAUGUUAAAGAACAAAUAUCAAGUAUCUUCAGAGACCAAUUAAAAGUACGCCUCUCUAAAGUUGUAUCUACUUCUGUACUUAAGUUAAAACUCAAAUAUAGCGUGGUGGACUGGUCUGCAAGGCAGCUCCUUCCUUCAGUGAAUGGUGUGCCAUGGCAGAUAAAUGGGAAGCACAAAAAUGGGGUAGGAAGAUACGGUAGUCUUACUGACGUAUUGUUGAAUCCAUCUCACAUGCUCCCACAGUUGGUAUCACCUUAGUCAAUGCUAGAAAUGGAGUGACAG